rnacentral:rRNA from 1 species
GACGAACGCUGCCAGAAUGCUUAACACAUGCCAGUCAACUUAGUGGCGGACGGGUGAGUAACGCGUAAAGAACUUGCCUCACAGAUAGGGACAACAUUCGGAAACGAAUGCUAAUACCUGAUACUGUGAGAGAGCUUUGCGUCCCAUUAGCUUGUUGGAGAGGUAACGUCUCAUCAAGGCGAUGACGGGUAGCCGGCAUGCGAGGGUGACCGGCCACAUUGGGAGUGAGAUAGGGCUGAGAAUCCGACGGGAGGCAGGUGGGGGGGAUAUUGCAAGAUGGACGAAAGCGUGGUGCAGCGACGCCGCGUGGGGGAUGAAGGCUGUGGGGUUGUAAACCUCUGUCGCUAUCGAACGGGUAGGUGGAGAAGAAGCGCCGGGUAACUACGUGCCAGCAGCCGCGGUAAUU